rnacentral:rRNA from 1 species
UACAGAGGUCUCAAGCGUUGUUCGGAUUCAUUGGGCGUAAAGGGUGCGUAGGCGGCGCGGUAAGUCGGGUGUGAAAUCUCGGAGCUUAACUCCGAGCCUGCUUCUGAUACGGGCAGACUAGAGGUAUGCAGGGGAGAAUGGAAUUCCUGGUGUAGCGGUGAAAUGCGCAGAUAUCAGGAGGAACACCGGUGGCGAAGGCGGUUCUCUGGGCAUGACCUGACGCUGAGGAGCGAAAGUGUGGGGAGCGAACAGG